rnacentral:rRNA from 1 species
CGGAGGAAAAGAAACUAACAAGGAUUCCCCUAGUAACGGCGAGUGAAGUGGGAAAAGCUCAACUUUAAAAUCUGGCAGCUUCGCUGUCCGAGUUGUAGUCUCGAGAAGUGUUUUCCGCGCUGGAUCGUGUAUGAGUCUGUUGGAAUACAGCGUCAUAGAGGGUGAGAACCCCGUUCAUGACACGACUACCAGUGCUUUGUGAUACACUUUCGAUGAGUCGAGUUGUUUGGGAAUGCAGCUCAAAAUGGGUGGUAAAUUCCAUCUAAAGCUAAAUAUUGGCGAGAGACCGAUAGCAAACAAGUACCGUGAGGGAAAGAUGAAAAGCACUUUGGAAAGAGAGUUAACAGUACGUGAAAUUGUCGAAAGGGAAACGCUUGAAGUCAGACGUGCGCGGUGCGAUUCAGCCUUGGUUCGCCAGGGUGUACUUCGUACCAUUGCAGGCCAGCAUCGGUUUUGUGAGCCGGAUAAAGGUUAGAGGAAGGUAGCGGUCCAGGCCGUGUUAUAGCCUCUAACUGAAUACGGAUUGUGAGACCGAGGGACGCAGCGCGCCGCAAGGCAAAGGGUCCGCCCUUUUCGCGCUUAGGAUGCUGGUGAAAUGGCUUUAAACGACCCGUCUUGA